GAAUUUAGAAAUCAAGAAAAAUCUAGCCCUGUAAUUAAAAUGUGAAAACAAAAGCUAUUUGUAGAGAAAAACAUCCCAUUAAUGUGAUUUCCUAGUGACAGAUUGACAAGUUCAAAGCAGUAAUGCAUGUUGCCAUGGGCACCAGAUUCUGUUUGCUCGGCUGGCUCAUUUUACUUAGCUGCUGAAGAAGGAGAGUCGCAUUCAGCCAGGGAUCACUGAGCAUUCAAAAGUCCAUCUGAGACCUGCUUUCAUUGCACUGCCUCGUGAGGAGCUGUAGGAGAAGAUAUCAUAACUAUUCCCCACUUCUAAUUGUUAGAAGCAACAGCUGUCUAUCAAGAACAAUCUGAGGAUUGUGCACAAAUUGAUUUGGUUCUAUCAAGUGCUGGCUUUCGAUUCCAGUCUGACUUCACUACCACAGGAGCUUCUUGCUCAGGCUUCUGUUCCGGCUCCAUUCUCUCCCUGCCAUUAUAAUGCCAUCCACUGCAGCACCAUCUCUUCAAUCAGAACCAAGAAAAGGGGCAGAAUAAGUGAGAGAAUGAACGAGAAUGAAAAAAAGAAUAGAACCAGUCGGCCAGUGACAUUUUCUAGUGAAACACAUAUGGGAUGCAAGAAAAGGACUCAGAAAAGCCUUGGGAGUAAAUAUUGAAAUGAUCUUGAAUGAUUUGGCAGGAGAAGAUGUGUCAGCAGGGCUUACCGUAUAGCUCCGAAGGAUGGUGAUGACGACACCACAGACCAAGAUAGUUUACAAAGGCUUAAUGGAGCUCAGAUAUUUGAGAAAAAAAAAAAAAAGAUUAACCAUAUUCAGCUGAGAAAAGGGAACACAAACACAUCUGGGGAAAGUAAUCUUAAAUAAAGAUACUCAGAUGGAGAAAAACAUGUGUCAAGCCUGGACCUGGAGUAAAAGCAGACAGAAAAAAUUUGAGUUGCAAGGGAUUACAACAGCUCAGAAAGGAAAACAUUCAUGAUCUCAUUCCACCUGAAGCCAGUGCCUCUGUAAUGUGUAGCAGAAUCCUAUGGAGAAGUUGUAAAAACACAAAAUGUUGGCCCCACCCCAAGAGUUUCUGAUUUUGCAGGUCUGGAGAGGGCCUGUGAUACGUACUUCUAACAAGCUCCCAGGCGAUGCUAAUGUUGCUGGUCUAGAAACACACUUUGAGAGCCACUGUUUUACAAUGUAUUCACCCAGCUUAUGCAAUCAACUACUAUCACAGCAAAGUCCAAAGAAUGCUCCUUAUUUGUUUGUUAUACUGGAGUUUGGCUUGGCUAAAUAUUAUUUGAAACUGAAUGGCUGUUGAUUGUGGCUCAGAAACUGUUUUCUUCAUAGCGCUGCAAUUGGAUUUAUUUAUUAGAAUUUGAGCUGAAUGUUGUCGUACAUUUUGGUUACAUUGGUUUCUCAGGAUAUUUUAUAGGUACAUGUUGUCUCUUUCUAAGUGCACUGUCACUUGAGGUGGGCCUGGGCCUUUUGUUCCUGUUUGUCCUUACUCUUCCACGGAGCUAGCAGUCUCCAGCACAGGGGUGAUCAGUUCUUAAUCACUGAAGACUAAUUAAUCUUUCAGUAUACAUGCUAUUUUAGUGAGUAAUUUUUGCCAGAAAUACUAGUGCUGAUGUAAAAUAAGGGUUAGGAUUAGGGAAGGAUUUGGCCUGAAUAAUUCAAUUUAUAUGUAUAAGUCA
rnacentral:lncRNA from 1 species